UACGGAGGGGGCGAGCGUUAUUCGGAAUUAUUGGGCGUAAAGGGCGCGUAGGCGGCUGUACAAGUCAAAGGUGAAAUCCCUCGGCUCAACUGAGGAACUGCCUUUGAAACUGUACGCUUGAGGCCGGGAGGGGGUAGCGGAAUUCCCAGUGUAGCGGUGAAAUGCGUAGAUACUGGGAGGAACACCAGUGGCGAAGGCGGCUACCUGGACCGGUUCUGACGCUGAGGCGCGACAGCGUGGGGGAUCAAACAGG
rnacentral:rRNA from 1 species